UGUAUCCAUGUUAUUCUUGUCUUACUGAGCAGUUCCUAGAUGAUGAAUCUCGUCUUGUGUGCUCUCAGGUGGAAGAAUACCUGCGUGCGUUAAGCCACCCCCCACCUGGGUCUCAGGGCGUAGCUGCCAUACCUCUUGGGAAACACGUUCGAGAUGACGAGCAGGCUUUGUAUUUGUUACUUCAGUGCGGUUAUAAUGUAGAAGAAGCCCUGAGGCGGCACAGAAUGAACCCCACACCACUUGCCUCCACAAUGACUUUAUGGUCAGAGGAGGAGUGUAGAAAUUUUGAAAAUGGCCUUAAAACAUAUGGUAAAGAUUUCCACCUAAUACAACAAAAUAAGGUGCGAACGAGAUCUGUUGGGGAGUUAGUCCAGUUUUACUACCUCUGGAAGAAAACAGAAAGACACGACUUGUUUGCAACGAAAACUAGAAUUGAAAA
rnacentral:lncRNA from 1 species